GACGAACGCUGGCGGCGUGCUUAACACAUGCAAGUCGAACGGAAAGGCCCUGCUUUUGUGGGGUGCUCGAGUGGCGAACGGGUGAGUAACACGUGAGUAACCUGCCCUUGACUUUGGGAUAACUUCAGGAAACUGGGGCUAAUACCGGAUAGGAGCUCCUGCUGCAUGGUGGGGGUUGGAAAGUUUCGGCGGUUGGGGAUGGACUCGCGGCUUAUCAGCUUGUUGGUGGGGUAGUGGCUUACCAAGGCUUUGACGGGUAGCCGGCCUGAGAGGGUGACCGGCGACAUUGGGACUGAGAUACGGCCCAGACUCCUACGGGAGGCAGCAGUGGGGAAUAUUGCACAAUGGGCGGAAGCCUGAUGCAGCAACGCCGCGUGCGGGAUGACGGCCUUCGGGUUGUAAACCGCUUUCGCCUGUGACGAAGCGUGAGUGACGGUAAUGGGUAAAUAAGCACCGGCUAACUACGUG
rnacentral:rRNA from 1 species